AUUGAACGCUGGCGGAAUGCUUUACACAUGCAAGUCGAACGGCAGCACGGACUUCGGUCUGGUGGCGAGUGGCGAACGGGUGAGUAAUGUAUCGGAACGUGCCCAGUCGUGGGGGAUAACGUAGUGAAAAUUACGCUAAUACCGCAUACGAUCUAUGGAUGAAAGCGGGGGAUCGCAAGACCUCGCGCGAUUGGAGCGGCCGAUAUCAGAUUAGGUAGUUGGUGGGGUAAAGGCCCACCAAGCCAACGAUCUGUAGCUGGUCUGAGAGGACGAACAGCCACACUGGAACUGAGACAAGGUCCAGACUCCUACGGGAGUCAGCAGUGGUGAAUUUUGGACAAUGGGCGAAAGCCUGAUCCAGCCAUUCCGCGUGCAGGAUGAAGGCCCUCGGGUUGUAAACUGCUUUUGUACAGAACGAAAAGGUUUCUACUAAUACUAGGAGCUCAUGACGGUACUGUAAGAAUAAGCACCGGCUAACUACGUGCCAGCCGCCGCCGUAA
rnacentral:rRNA from 1 species